rnacentral:tRNA from 1 species
GGGAAUAUAGCUCAGUGGUAGAGCAGAUGGCUGUUAACCAUCGGGUCGUAGGUUCGAGCCCUUCUAUUCCCG